rnacentral:rRNA from 1 species
AGGAAUUGGCGGGGGAGCACUACAACGGGUGGAGCCUGCGGUUCAAUUGGAUUCAACGCCGGAAAGCUUACCGGGUCAGACAGCACUAUGAAGGUCAAGCUAAAGACUUUACCGAAUUCGCUGAGAGGAGGUGCAUGGCCGUCGUCAGUUCGUAUCGUGAGACAUCCUGUUAAGUCAGGCAACGAGCAAGACCCGUGCCCACAGUUGCCAGCAUACCCUCCGGGGUGAUGGGCACACUGUGGGGACCGCCGCUGCUAAAGCGGAGGAAGGUGCGGGCUACGGUAGGUCAGUAUGCCCCGAAUCAUCCGGGCUACACGCGGGCUACAAUGGUUGGGACAAUGGGCACCUACACCGAGAGGUGAUGGUAAUCUCCUAAACCCAGCCUUAGUUCGGAUUGAGGGCUGCAACUCGCCCUCAUGAAGCCGGAAUCCGUAGUAAUCGCGUAUCAAUAUCACGCGGUGAAUACGUCCCUGCUCCUUGCACACACCGCCCGUCAAACCAUGCGAGUGAGGUCUGAAUGAGGGCACGCUUUUUGGCGUGUUCGAAUUUGGGCUUCGCGAGUGGGGUUAAGUCGUAACAAGGUAACCUCAGUCAGUCA